rnacentral:rRNA from 1 species
AGUGGCGGACGGGUGAGUAACGGCGUGGGUAACCUGCCUCAGUACAGGGGGAUAACAGUUAGAAAUGACUGCUAACACCGCAUAAUAUAGUGAAACCGCAUGAUUUUGCUAUCAAAUAUUUAUAGGUAUGAGAUGGGCCCGCGUCUGAUUAGCUAGUUGGUGGGGUAAAAGCCUACCAGGGCGACGAUCAGUAGCCGGCUUGAGAGAGUGACCGGCCACAUUGGGACUGAGACACGGCCCAAACUCCUACGGGAGGCAGCAGUGGGGAAUAUUGGACAAUGGGGGAAACCCUGAUCCAGCGACGCCCGCGUGAGUGAAGAAGUAUUUCGGUAUGUAAAGCUCUAUCAGCAGGGAAGAUAAUGACAGUACCUGACUAAGAAGCCCCGGCUAACUACGUGCCAGCAGCUGC